AGAGUUUGAUCAUGGCUCAGGACGAACGCUGGCGGCGUGCUUAACACAUGCAAGUCGAGCGGUAAGGCCCCUUCGGGGGUACACGAGCGGCGAACGGGUGAGUAACACGUGAGCAAUCUGCCCAUCACAUCGGGAUAACUCCGGGAAACCGAAGCUAAUACCGAAUACGACCACCUCCGGCAUCGGAUGGUGGUGGAAAGUUCCGGCGGUGAUGGAUGAGCUCGCGGCCUAUCAGCUUGUUGGUGGGGUAAUGGCCCACCAAGGCAACGACGGGUAGCCGGCCUGAGAGGGUGACCGGCCACACUGGGACUGAGACACGGCCCAGACUCCUACGGGAGGCAGCAGUGGGGAAUAUUGGACAAUGGGCGAAAGCCUGAUCCAGCAACGCCGCGUGAGGGAUGACGGCCUUCGGGUUGUAAACCUCUUUCAGCAGGGACGAAGCGAAAGUGACGGUACCUGCAGUAGAGCCC
rnacentral:rRNA from 1 species